GACGAACGCUGGCGGCGUGCCUAAUACAUGCAAGUUGAGCGCUGAAGGUUGGUACUUGUACCAACUGGAUGAGCAGCGAACGGGUGAGUAACGCGUGGGGAAUCUGCCUUUGAGCGGGGGACAACAUUUGGAAACGAAUGCUAAUACCGCAUAAAAACUUUAAACACAAGUUUUAAGUUUGAAAGAUGCAAUUGCAUCACUCAAAGAUGAUCCCGCGUUGUAUUAGCUAGUUGGUGAGGUAAAGGCUCACCAAGGCGAUGAUACAUAGCCGACCUGAGAGGGUGAUCGGCCACAUUGGGAGUGAGACACGGCCCAAACUGCUACGGGAGGCAGCAGUAGGGAAUCUUCGGCAAGGGACGAAAGUCUGACCGAGCAACGCCGCGUGAGUGAAGAAGGGUGUCGGAUCGGAAAACUCGGUUGGUAGAGAAGAACGUUGGUGAGAGUGGAAAGCUCAUCAAGUGACGGUAACUACCCAGAAAGGGACGGCUAACUACGUG
rnacentral:rRNA from 1 species